rnacentral:piRNA from 1 species
UGCUCUCAUUGGGAGUCAGAAACCCGC